AAGGAAUAUUGGACAAUGGACGCAAGUCUGAUCCAGCCAUGCCGCGUGAAGGAUUAAGGUCCUCUGGAUUGUAAACUUCUUUUAUAAGGGACGAAAAAAGGUCUUUCUAGAUCGUCUGACGGUACCUUAUGAAUAAGCACCGGCUAACUCCGUGCCAGCAGCCGCGGUAAUACGGAGGGUGCAAGCGUUAUCCGGAUUCACUGGGUUUAAAGGGUGCGUAGGCGGGCAGGUAAGUCAGUGGUGAAAUCCUAGAGCUCAACUCUAGAACUGCCAUUGAUACUAUCUGUCUUGAAUAUUGUGGAGGUAAGCGGAAUAUGUCAUGUAGCGGUGAAAUGCUUAGAUAUGACAUAGAACACCUAUUGCGAAGGCAGCUUACUACGCAUAUAUUGACGCUGAGGCACGAAAGCGUGGGGAUCAAAC
rnacentral:rRNA from 1 species